rnacentral:lncRNA from 1 species
AGCCCCCGAAGGUCGGGGUGCCAACACCCCCCAGCGGAAAAAUGGCCAAAAAACGGGUGGGCUAUAGCCUUGGUGGGGGGCGUGGGCGAAGUUCGUCCACCGGACUCGGAAUGGCCCCAGACUUUGCGGGCGGCUUCCGUGUGCCAAAAAUAGGCCACGGGCAGAGCCGCGCCCAAAAAUCAGCCCCCGAAGGUCGGGGUGCCAAGACCCCCCAGCGGAAAAAUGGCCAAAAAACGGGUGGGCUAUAGCCUUGGUGGGGGGCGUGGGCGAAGUUCGUCCGCCGGACUCGGAAUGGCCCCAGACGUUGCGGGCGGCCUCCGUGUGCCAAAAAUAGGCCACGGGCACAGCCGCGCCCAAAAAUCAGCCCCCGAAGGUCGGGGUGCCAACACCCCCCAGCGGAAAAAUGGCCAAAAAACGGGUGGGCUAUAGCCUUGGUGGGGGGCGUGGGCGAAGUUCGUCCACCGGACUCGGAAUGGCCCCAGACUUUGCGGGCGGCUUCCGUGUGCCAAAAAUAGGCCACGGGCAGAGCCGCGCCCAAAAAUCAGCCCCCGAAGGUCGGGGUGCCAACACCCCCCAGCGGAAAAAUGGCCAAAAAACGGGUGGGCUAUAGCCUUGGUGGGGGGCGUGGGCGAAGUUCGUCCGCCGGACUCGGAAUGGCCCCAGACUUUGCGGGCGGCUUCCGUGUGCCAAAUAUAGGCCACGGGCAGAGCCGCGCCCAAAAAUCAGCCCCCGAAGGUCGAGGCGCCAAGACCCCCCAGCGGAAAAAUGGCCAAAAAACGGGUGGGCUAUAGCCUUGGUGGGGGGCGUGGGCUAAGUUCGUCCGCCGGACUCGGAAUGGCCCCAGACUUUGCGGGCGGCUUCUGUGUGCCAAAAAUAGGCCACGGGCAGAGCCGCGCCCAAAAAUCAGCCCCCGAAGGUCGGGGUGCUAAGACCCCCCAGCGGAAAAAUGGCCAAAAAACGGGUGGGCUAUAGCCUUGGUGGGGGGCGUGGGCGAAGUUCGUCCGCCGGACUCGGAAUGGCCCCAGACUUUGCGGGCGGCCUCCGUGUGCCAAAAACAGGCCACGGGCACACCCGCGCCCAAAAAUCAGCCCCCGAAGGUCGGGGCGCCAAGACCCCCUAGCGGAAAAAUGGCAAAAAAAACGGGUGGGCGGGCUAUAGCCUUGGUGGGGGGCGUGGGCGAAGUUCGUCCGCCGGACUCGGAAUGGCCCCAGACUUUGCGGGCGGCCUC